rnacentral:lncRNA from 1 species
GGCUCCACACGUCGUUUUUCGACAUGUUUCUUGAGAAUGCCCAGUUAUUUUGCAACGACGACAGUAAAGAGGCAAAUUUUCAAAGACAAAUUCAACAUGGAAUGAUGUAUCCUCACCAUUAAUUAAAAGAGUAGAAGGUAGAUUUUGCGACAUAUCGAUUUCCACAAGGAUUCUAGCGAAUUGUCCGAAGUCACGUCGUGCCGACGCUCCAUCGAU